CCAUAUGAGCCACUUCCCUACACAACAUUUACAUUAGGACUCUCUCAUCUAUCCAUUGAUGGAUCUGAAUACAGCUGGAAUAUUUUCUUUUUUUAGAUAACCAGUUUGUUUACCACAAUCAAAUGAGUACUGUAGUAUACUUCCCUCUCUAACCCAGCAAACAGACCAUACAAACCAUUACUGUAGUAUACUUCCCUCUCUAACCCAGCAAACAGACCAUACAAACCAUUACUGUAGUAUACUUCCCUCUCUAACCCAGCAAACAGACCAUACAAACCAUUACUGUAGUAUACUUCCCUCUCUCUCCCAGCAAACAGACCAUACAAACCAUUACUGUAGUAUACUUCCCUCUCUAACCCAGCAAACAGAACAGACCAUACAAACCAUUACUGUAGUAUACUUCCCUCUCUAACCCAGCAAACAGACCAUACACACAGGCAAUAUUGUACACACUAAUGUUAAAUGUAUCUGGAAAAUAGUACACAACACCAAGUGCCACUAUUCUUGAUUUAAUUAUCAUUGUUAAACAUCAUCAUAUAAUAUUAAAAACAGCAACUCACCUAAUGUACAAUACAGUACUACACUUACAUGCAAAUUGCCCAAUAGCCAGCUAUGGCCAGGCCAACAAAACACAACGAGAAAAAUAUAAGCAUCAUUCACAACACAGUCUUGAACAUUGAGCCGUCUCCUGCUUUUUCAAAUAGAUACACUUUAAUUUACCAGUAGGCUACCUGUAUUAUUCUGUAUUAAUUUACCAGUAGGCUACCUGUAUUAUUCUGUAUUAAUUUACCAGUAGGCUACCUGUAUUAUUCUGUAUUAAUUUACCAGUAGGCUACCUGUAUUAUUCUGUAUUAAUUUACCAGUAGGCUACCUGUAUUAUUCUGUAUUAAUUUACCAGUAGGCUACCUGUAUUAUUCUGUAUUAAUUUACCAGUAGGCUACCUGUAUUAUUCUGUAUUAAUUUACCAGUAGGCUACCUGUAUUAUUCUGUAUUAAUUUACCAGUAGGCUACCUGUAUUAUUCUGUAUUAAUUUACCAGUAGGCUACCUGUAUUAUUCUGUAUUAAUUUACCAGUAGGCUACCUGUAUUAUUCUGUAUUAAUUUACCAGUAGGCUACCUGUAUUAUUCUGUAUUAAUUUACCAGUAGGCUACCUGUAUUAUUCUGUAUUAAUUUACCAGUAGGCUACCUGUAUUAUUCUGUAUUAAUUUACCA
rnacentral:lncRNA from 13 species